GCGCCUAUAGCUCAAUUGGAUAGAGCGCCAGUCUCCGACACUGGAGGUUGCAGGUUCAAGUCCUGCUGGGCGCACCA
rnacentral:tRNA from 1 species